rnacentral:rRNA from 2 species
AGGUGCGAUCAUACCAGCAUUAAUGCACCGGAUCCCACUAGAACUGCGUUGUGAAGCGUGGUUGGGCGAGAGUAGUACUAGGAUGGGUGACCUCCUGGGAAGUCCUCGUGUUGCACCUA